rnacentral:rRNA from 1 species
AAUACGGGGGGGGCAAGCGUUGUUCGGAAUUACUGGGCGUAAAGGGCUCGUAGGCGGCCAACUAAGUCAGACGUGAAAUCCCUCGGCUUAACCGGGGAACUGCGUCUGAUACUGGAUGGCUUGAGUUUGGGAGAGGGAUGCGGAAUUCCAGGUGUAGCGGUGAAAUGCGUAGAUAUCUGGAGGAAUACCGGUGGCGAAGGCGGCAUCCUGGACCGAGAUUGACGCUGAGGAGCGAAAGCCAGGGGAGCAAACGGGA